rnacentral:other from 1 species
CAUAGUCUGAGGUGUUGGUCAGCUUUUAUUUUGAACCUACAGUGCAGCAACGGGAGUCCAAUAGGGAAUGAAGGAUAUCCAGCCCAUAGUAAGACCAAAAUGGCAGGGGAAGAUAGAAACAUUCAUGCGGACACCCACCUAUCGAGAGAUAGGUGUCAAAAUGGAAGUAACGGUACCUUGGAUGAAAA